rnacentral:rRNA from 1 species
UUCCGGUUGAUCCUGCCGGACCCGGCUGCUAUCAGAGUGGGACUAAGCCAUGCGAGUCAACGCAGUAAUGCGUGGCAUACGGCUCAGUAACACGUAGUCAACAUGCCCAGGGGACGUGGAUAACCUCGGGAAACUGAGGAUAAACCGCGAUAGGCCAAGGUUUCUGGAAUGGACAAUGGCUGAAACCUAUAUGGCCCCUGGAUUGGACUGCGGCCGAUCAGGCUGUUGGUGAGGUAAUGGCCCACCAAACCUGUAACCGGUACGGGCUCUGAGAGGAGGAGCCCGGAGAUGGGCACUGAGACAAGGGCCCAGGCCCUAUGGGGCGCAGCAGGCGCGAAACCUCUGCAAUAGGCGAAAGCUUGACAGGGUUACUCUGAGUGAUGUCCGCUAAGGGCAUCUUUUGGCACUUCUAAAAAUAGUGUAGAAUAAGGGGUGGGCAAGUCUGGUGUCAGCCGCCGCGGUAAUACCAGCACCCCGAGUGGUCGGGACGAUUAUUGGGCCUAAAGCAUCCGUAGCCGGUUCUGCAAGUCUUCCGUUAAAUCCACCUGCUCAACAGAUGGGCUGCGGAGGAUACUACAGGGCUAGGAGGCGGGAGAGGCAAGCGGUACUCAGUGGGUAGGGGUAAAAUCCUCUGAUCCACUGAAGACCACCAGUGGCGAAGGCGGCUUGCCAGAACGCGCUCGGCGGUGAGGGAUGAAAGCUGGGGGAGCAAACCGGAUUAGAUACCCGGGUAGUCCCAGCUGUAAACGAUGCAGACUCGGUGAUGGGUUGGCUUCGAGCCAACCCAGUGCCGCAGGGAAGCCGUUAAGUCUGCCGCCUGGGGAGUACGGUCGCAAGACUGAAACUUAAAGGAAUUGGCGGGGGAGCACCACAAGGGGUGAAGCCUGCGGUUCAAUUGGAGUCAACGCCGGG